rnacentral:snoRNA from 1 species
GAUCAACUCCCUGGCGGGCUCCGUGCUGGGCCUCAUCCUGUGCAGUAACAGGUGUGAGCAUUCAUGCAGCGUUUUGAUGGUCAUGUAUGAUACUGCAUACAACA